rnacentral:lncRNA from 1 species
AUGAAGAGAGAGACUAGAAGAUCUCAAAGGUCCCCUUCAGGUCUGAGAUUCUUUAAACUAUGGCAUAUAGCAAUUGUUCAAAUAAACACCAUUUUAAUAUCUGAUUUCCUAAUACCCCCACCUCUACCAAAAUUAUCCCUAUUUUUACCUUUUGUCAUUUUAUUUUAAACAGGAGGGAUAUAGUAUUAAGAUUUUAAAAUUGGAGCAGAAUAACAUUCUUGAUUUGUCCUAAAAUAGCUUUUGAUUUGUCACAAAAGAUUUGUCUGGAGACAUGUAUAUGGAUUUUUAGAAUGAUUUUGGAAAGCACUGCUUUUUCCUUAUAUUUAAAAAAUGUUAUAUGAUUGGCUAAUAGAGAGUCUUUUGGUAUUUACAAGACAUUUUGAUGUUGAUUUCACUUCAGGGCAGUAGACAGUUUUAGGAAAGAAAGGGAAAACAAGAAACCUCAACAAGAUGUUUAUUUCUUUGCCCAAAUAUCAACUUUCGUUUUAUUUUUUUUACUAGAUAAAAAGACAGGAAAAAAAAAAGUAAGAACCUAAAGAAUUUCAUUUCUCUUAUUGGUAUAAUGAAUUUCAUUAUACUGUCAAAUUCCAUUCUACUGUCAAUAGAAGAGGGGCCUUUGGAUGAUCUUGAUUAAUUUAUGUUGCAUAGGUUGCAUAGGAAGAUUUGGUCUUCCAAUCUUUAUGAAUCUCAGUUCCAUCAAGGGAAGUUCAAGUUGUUGGAAUAUGAAAGGAUCAAGUAUUAAGUUUGGAGAGGGAAGAAAUGGAUGCACAUAAAAUGUAGGAAGUCAAAUAUUCUUAAGCCAGAAAUGUGUUCUGAUUCAUCUUUGAAUUAUCUUUCCUUAAAGUAGCUUCCUUUUAAAUGACAUUAAUUAGAUGUGACAUCAUAUCACCUAAUGAUAGGGUUUUUUUUUUUAUUUUUAUUUUGCUAAAAGUCUUUAGAAUUCAAAGUGAGUGUUUAAAUUUCAUAGCAUCAUAUUGUAAAGUUACAGUGGUUUGGGGGAUGUUUGUGUCCUUCUGAGAGGUGAUGUGAAAAGAGUUUCAACACAGAACAAUAAAUAUGAAAUUUACUUUCAGGGAAGGGACCAGGAGGCCAAAUUAUUUCUCUUCUCUAGUGUUAGUGAUGGGAGGAGCUACUGUGUCAAGAGAACCAAAAAUAUUUUCUCAAUUUAUUUUAAACUAGAAAUGGUAUUCUACAAAUAAUGUUCAUGUUUGAAAUUGAUAUUAGUAUUUUUUAGUAUUGCUGAGGUGUAUUUUCUGAGUCUAGAGAUAGCAUAAAAAGUUGAUGAAAGCUAGUAAAUAUAUUUCAUUAAUUUAAAUGCUUAUUUAUUUUUUAAUGAAAGGAUUUUGAUGAAAAGCCAGUUGAUAAAGUAUUGUUAUUUCUCUCUUAACCCAAAAAAGGUCCAUUUUGUAUCGAAUUGGCUAAUUCUGCUGUGUACAUUUUUGAAAUAAAAGAAGUCUGAUAUUUUAGAGAGUUGUUAUUGCUAUUUUAAAAAGUGAAACCAGCUCUAAUAAUGAGUACACAAUCAUCAUUGUUAUUUCAGUCCUCCUUUCCAAACACCCUUUUGACUAGCAUUCUAAAUUCUGAAAUUAAUUCUCUCUCAUCAUGAAUGUACGUAUGUCAUUUGAAGAACUACCUUCUUUUGAAAACCUUUUGCAUAUCAGAUUAAAACUGGAUUUCAUUUACUUGAGACUUUCUGAACUCUUUUGAAAGUUAUAAUACCAUGUAGCUGUACUUUAUUUUAUAUAUUUGUUUUCUUAGAAGUUUAUUUUAAAUUGCAUUGUACUUUAAGUGUAUUAGGGACUUUAAAGGAAAUCAGUAAUCAAUCCUCUUAAUGUGAAAAUUGUAUACCCAACCCUCAUAAAAAUUAGUUCAGAAUUUUAAAAGAUACUAAAUUUUUCUAAAGUGAAGUACACCCUGUAUGCACACCCAGAUCCCUACUGCUGAUACAUUAAUGACCAAGUAGAUCCUUUUCCAUUCAGCAAAUUUUGGGUGAAGUCCAAAGCAUAUAUUUACCAGAGAAAAAGAUUUUCUCUGCUAUUAGAUAUAGUCUUAAUAGAAUGUAAGACAUACAUAUUUGGGGGGGGGAAAGAAAUAUCUUGUACCCAUAGCAUUUUGUAUAGUGCCUUCCUUACAUAUUAAUGUUGAAUUUCUUAAGUAUUCUGUAAAUUGCACAGCAUUUGAACUUCUUGUUAAUGUAGGAGUGGAUAAUCAAAAAAUAAUUUGAUUUUUUGAUUUUGAAGUGUGUACUAUCACUUUCACUGUGGAGUCAUUUUUGGUCUUAUAUUUAGAGAAACUAAUGAAAAUUCAUUUGCCUUCUGUGGACUAGAAAUGAUGAAGCAAAUUGACAGGAGGAUGAUCUUAAGAGGGAUUAAACAUUUUUCAUUAAUGAACUACUUUCAGAUAAUUGCAAUUUAACUAAUAAAGGUAUAAUGGGGUAAUGGGGAAAGUACUGGCUUUACAAUCAAAUGACCCAGAUAGAAAUCCUGACUCUUACAUUUUACUUUGUGACCUGGAGCAGAUCCUUUAGUAGCUGUGGUCUUAGCUAUCUCCAAAAUCUUUUCUAAAUCUAAAGGGGAAAAGGAAGGUGUGAGUAGAAAUGGGGGAGGGUGAAGAUGAACAGGAAAAUUCCCUCAAAUGAGUUGGCAAUUAUUAGGGAGUACCAAUAUGAUAAAAGACUGAUCAUAUGACAGGGCAGCUAAUGUUGAACUUUCUCUACCAGUGCAGAUUCACGCUGCAGCUUAAAGCUCCGUAGGUGACUGAGAGAUUUUGAUUUGCCUAGUGUCAGUCACACAGUAUUUGGAGACAAAUCAAAAUCAUCCACUAUUCCAUGCUACCUCUAAGUGCUAACAACAGAAAGUUAUAGUUUAGAACAGAAAAAUGAUCAAAAGUCUGAACCCUAAGCUGCAUAGAACUCUUGUAAUGAUAACAGCUUUCUUUCCACAGAAGGAAUAAUAUGUCCAACAGUCCCUUUGUUAAGAUAAUUUCACAGUUGUAAUUGAAUGGAAAUCAUUCAGUCCAAUCCUCUCAUUUUACAACUGUGAAAAAUAAGACCUAAAGAAAGGCAGCAAGUGGCUUGAGCAAGAUCAUCCUUUCAAUAAGUGGUGGGGUUGAGACUCACACUCAAUCUCGUUAUUAGACCAGUUUUCUUUCUGCUAGACUUUUUUCUGUCUACUCUAGAGCCUUAUCCUCUAAUUUCCUUUCAUUUAUUUUCC